rnacentral:misc_RNA from 1 species
UGGCAGUGGCGUGUCUGCAGCAGG